AUCGCUUCUCGGCCUUUUGGCUAAGAUCAAGUGUAGUAUAAGUUAGUAUGUUAAUAGGUUUCUGUUUUUGUUUUUUAAUUGCAGACCAGACACUGAAUUAGCAUUAAGUACUCCAU
ensembl:snRNA Rnu2-45 RNA, U2 small nuclear 45